rnacentral:pre_miRNA from 1 species
AUCACCUGGGGUCUUGUUAACAUACAGGUUCUGAUUCAGCUGGUCUAGGGUGGGGUCCAAGAUUCUGCAUGUCUAAUAAGUUCCCAGGUGAUGCUGA